UACGGAGGAUGCAAGCGUUAUCCGGAAUGAUUGGGCGUAAAGCGUCCGCAGGUGGCAGUUCAAGUCUGCUGUCAAAGACCGGGGCUUAACUUCGGAAAGGCAGUGGAAACUAAACAGCUAGAGUAUGGUAGGGGCAGAGGGAAUUCCUGGUGUAGCGGUGAAGUGCGUAGAGAUCAGGAAGAACAUCGGUGGCGAAGGCGCUCUGCUGGACCAUAACUGACACUCAGGGACGAAAGCUAGGGGAGCGAAUGGG
rnacentral:rRNA from 1 species